AACGCUGGCGGCGCGCCUAACACAUGCAAGUCGAACGGGACUAUGCGAGAUGAAGUUUUCGGAUGGAAUUUUGUAUAGUUUAGUGGCGGACGGGUGAGUAACACGUGAGCAACCUGCCUUCGAGAGGGGAAUAACGGCUGGAAACGGUCGCUAAUACCGCAUAACAUACGGGAGGGACAUCCCUUUUGUAUCAAAGAUUUAUCGCUCGAAGAUGGGCUCGCGUCCGAUUAGGUAGUUGGUGAGGUAACGGCCCACCAAGCCGACGAUCGGUAGCCGGACUGAGAGGUUGAACGGCCACAUUGGGACUGAGACACGGCCCAGACUCCUACGGGAGGCAGCAGUGGGGGAUAUUGCACAAUGGGGGAAACCCUGAUGCAGCGACGCCGCGUGUAGGAAGACGGUCCUCUGGAUUGUAAACUACUGUCCCCAGGGACGAAGAUGACGGUACCUGGGGAGGAAGCUCCGGCUAACUACGUGCCAGCAGCCGCGGUAAUACGUAGGGAGCGAG
rnacentral:rRNA from 1 species